GCCAAAAACCUAGCCCAGCUAAAUAUGUAUUUAACUAAACUAUUUUAACCUCACCUAAUAAAACAUUCUAAUAUUUAAGUAAAGGAGAUUGAAAAAUUCAUUGGAGCUAUAAUGAAAGUACCGAAAGGGAAAGAUGAAAUAUAUAAUGAAAAAUUUUUAAGCAAUAAAAAGUAAAGACCACCCCUUGUACCUUUUGCAUCAUGGUUUAACUAGUUUAAUCAAGCAAGACGUAUUUUAGUUUGACUUCCCGAAACUAAGUGAGCUACUUCAGGGCAGCUAAAAGAGCAAACCCGUCUCUGUAGCAAAAGAGUGGGAUGACCCUCAAGUAGCGGUGAUAGACCUAACGAACUUAGUGAUAGCUGGUUACUCAAGAAACGGAUAUAAGUCCAACCUGAAACCCCUGUUAUAGUACACCAAAACAACUACCUGGAUUUCAUAGUAAUUCAAAUAAGGUACAGCCUAUUUGAAACAGGAUACAACCUAAACUAAUGGAUAAGAUUAACUUUAUAUACAACCAAGUGGGCCUAAAAGCAGCCAUCUUUAAAAUAGCGUCAAAGCUUAAUUGUUCUAAUGCCUAAUUACCCAAUUCUUAUCUUAAUCCUUUAUUAAUACUGAGUAAUUCUAUAUUAUUAUAGAAAAUUUUAUGUUAAAACUAGUAACAAGAAGAAGACUCUUCUCUUCAAUGUAAAUGUAAAUCAGAAAGGACAAGCCACUGAUACUUGACGUCACUGAACCAAAAGUAGAAACCAACCAAGAAAAUUCUACUUCCACCAACGUUAACCUAACACAAGAGCAUUCAAAGAAAGAUUAAAAGAAAAAGAAGGAACUCGGCAAAUAUUAACCUCGCCUGUUUACCAAAAACAUCGCCUCUUGAGUCCAUAUAAGAGGUCCAGCCUGCCCAGUGACCAUGUUCAACGGCCGCGGUAUCCUAACCGUGCGAAGGUAGCGUAAUCACUUGUUCUUUAAAUGAGGACUAGUAUGAAUGGCACCACGAAGGUUAUACUGUCUCCUUUUUUCAAUCAGUGAAACUAAUCUCCCCGUGAAGAAGCGGGGAUAAAACUAUAAGACGAGAAGACCCUAUGGAGCUUUAAACAAUAUAGCACUUGCCAUACAACAUAAAAAUUUCUGAAACUUCAAAUCUACACGGCAACUUGACUAUAAGUUUUUGGUUGGGGUGACCGCGGAGCAUAGCACAACCUCCAUGUUGAAAGAAUUUUCUAAGCUAAGACCCACUAGUCCAAGCAUCAAUAUACUGACAUCCAUUGACCCAAUAUAUUUGAACAACGAACCAAGUUACCCUAGGGAUAACAGCGCAAUCCACUUCAAGAGCUCCUAUCGACAAGUGGGUUUACGACCUCGAUGUUGGAUCAGGGUAUCCCAGUGGUGCAGCCGCUACUAAAGGUUCGUUGUUCAACGAUAAAA
rnacentral:rRNA from 1 species